rnacentral:rRNA from 1 species
ACUCCUACGGGAGGCAGCAGUAGGGAAUCUUCCACAAUGGGCGCAAGCCUGAUGGAGCAACACCGCGUGAGUGAAGAAGGGUUUCGGCUCGUAAAGCUCUGUUGUUAAAGAAGAACACGUAUGAGAGUAACUGUUCAUACGUUGACGGUAUUUAACCAGAAAGUCACGGCUAACUACGUGCCAGCAGCCGCGGUAAUACGUAGGUGGCAAGCGUUAUCCGGAUUUAUUGGGCGUAAAGAGAGUGCAGGCGGUUUUCUAAGUCUGAUGUGAAGGCCUUCGGCUUAACCGGGAGAAGUGCAUCGGAAACUGGAUAACUUGAGUGCAGAAGAGGGUAGUGGAACUCCAUGUGUAGCGGUGGAAUGCGUAGAUAUAUGGAAGAACACCAGUGGCGAAGGCGGCUACCUGGUCUGCAACUGACGCUGAGACUCGAAAGCAUGGGUAGCGAACAGGAUUAGAUACCCUGGUAGGAUAGCG